rnacentral:lncRNA from 1 species
UUUUUUUUUUUUUUUUGUCUUUUGUCUUUUUAGGGCCACACCCACAGCAUAUGGAGGUUCCCAGGCUAGGAGUCCAAUUGGAGCUACAGCUGCCAGCCUACGCCACAGCUCACGGCAAUGCCAGAUCCUCAACCCACUGAGCAAGGCCAGGGAUCAAACCCAAAACCUCAUGGUUCCUAGUCAGAUUUGUUUCUGCUGCGCCACAACAGGAACUCCCCUGGAAUUCACAUUCUUAAGUUAUCCUCUUCCUUGAGUGUUGCUGGACCCAGUGACUCAAUUCUAACAAAAAGAAUACAGUACAAGUUAUGGAUGUGACUUCCAAAAGUAGGUUCUAGUAACACUCAGGCUCCUGUCCCCCGCCCCCUCCCCCGUGUGUGUGUGUGUGUGUGUGUGUGUGUGUGUGUGUGUUGUGCAAUAGAGUAGCCUCUAGCUACGCGUGUUACAUAAGUGCUUGGAAUGUGGCUAUUUUGAUAGACGCUGAGUUUAAAACCCAACUGGAUUUCAAGGACGGUACCAAAAAAAAUAAUGUGAAAAUCUCAAUAAUAUGUACACUGACCAUACGCUGAAAUACAGUAUUCAGAUAUAUAGGUUUAAAUAAAAACAUUAAAAUUAACUCCACUGGUUUCUUUCUGUUUUUUUAAUGUGGAAAAUUUGAAAUUUCAUAUGUCAACCUGCCUUUGGGGGCCACAACAUAUUUCUUUUGAAGGCCACUGAUACAGAUGAUAUUUUACUUGGUGAAGGAACACAGGACCCAUCAGAUUUCCUUGUGCCAUUGCCGAAUGCAAAUCCACUUGAAGAUCACUGCCUUAAGAACUUUUUCCUCCCAGUUUCUCCACCUGAGUAAUUCUGCCUCCAACCCUUCUUAAACUUAUAUUCUAGUCAUCCAAGUCAACUGAAAUAAAGGUGACUUUAAUGUCAUAAUUUCAAUGCACCAGAGGAUCCAGAAGAAGGGAGGGGGUAAAUAAAGAAGAAACCGGCUUUUUAAAACACUGUGACCAUUUGAUGCUUGAGUUCUGAAUAAGUUCUCCAUUUUCAACACUGAAUAAGUUCUCCAUUUUCAGUAAGGGAAUUUAUACAGUAAUUAACAAACACCCUGAAAGUGAUAGGAGAUACUCACUCAGGGACAAACACGAGAACGUGUUUCCAGCAGGACUGGGUCUGAUGCCCUCCCCUAAGCAACAAACCCUCUUUCCUAGGCCAACAGGUAAGCAGGAGACACUAAUAUGAGCCCUCAAAAAAAGCAUCUGGAAGGUAAAUAGAUUCACAUGUUUAAUCUGACAUUAUUGGAACAUUUUUCCUGCACCGUGAAAACUCUGCUUUAAUAAUUAAGUUGUUUUCCUCAGAGCACCUCAGCCUACUUAUAAACACCUCUUCAUUUCAAGUUAGAUUCCUUGGGCUUGAUUGAUUUUAAUGUUUAAAAGCCUAAAUUCGGGCAUUGUUUGAUUGUCUAAUCCAUGGCUGAUGCCCUGUGGGUUUGUAGUUCAGCUCUGGGCAGGGGGUAGAGAAGAGGGGUUUUUGUUGUCAUUGGGUUUUGUUUUGCUUUUUGCAGUUUUUAGUAAAUUCCUACACCCACGGUGGAAGGGAAGGAACAAAAGGGACAGGGAAGGGAAAUUUCUGACAGUUUUCAGGACCCUUCAGUAUGCACGUAAUGAAAACCCGGUAGAAUUAUCAGUAGUGUGCGCUUCUGUUAGGCAUUGAUCACAACUCUUUAAAACUAUCUAGCACCCUCCACCUUGUCGUUCAAGCCAGAAAUCCGGUGAUAAAUCUAGAGUCCUCACUUUCUUUCACUUCCCAACACGAUCAGUCACCAACAUUUGUAGCUUCAAACUUUCUUAAUGUCUCUUGAAUCACAUUCACCCUUCCUUCCUACCCCUCCCUCCUUUCAGAUGCCCGAGCACCUCUGCCGGAGUUGCUUCAACCCUCUUCUAACUGGCCUUCCCAGGUCUUGCCUCUCUGCUACUCAAUCUGCUUAAAACCUCCAUGGCUCCCUACUGUCCACAGGACAAGUUCAGACUUCUCAACGGAGUAUAUUCUUCAUGAGCUGCCCUGAGGCUGACCAUCAUGGGGUAGGGGGUGUAAAGAGAGACCAAAAUGGACAGCAGAUUUGGGGCAUGUUAAGGCAUUUAGUCAUUAUCUUUUGAGCAAUAGGAAGUCAAAAACGGUCAGUUUUAAGUAGGGUCAUACAUGAGCAGAUUUGCAUAGUGUUUGAAAGCAAGGGUUCUAGAAUCAAAUUUUUUUUCUUUUUUUUUUUUUGUCUUUUUGCCAUUUCUUGGACUGCUCCCGCAACACAUGGAGGUUCCCAGGCUAGGGGUCGAAUCGGAGUUGUAGCCACUGGCCUACCCCAGAGCCACAGCAACACAGGAUCCGAGCCACGUCUGCAACCUACACCACAGCUCACAGCAACGCAGGAUCUUCAACCCACUGAGCAAGGCCAGGGAUCAAACCCACAACCUUAUGGUUCCUAGUCGGAUUCGUUAACCACUGAGCCACGACGGGAACUCCCUAGAAUCAAAUUUAAGUCAAAGUCUGACUGCACCACUUAGCUGUAUGUCCUUGGGCAAGUUACUUAACCUUUCUGAGUUGGUUUCUUUUUCUUUCUUUUUUUUUUUUUUUUUUUUUUUUUUUUUUUUUUUUUUUUUUUUNUGGAGGUUCUUAGGCUAGGGGUCGAAGGGAGCUACAGCUGCUGGCCUACGCCACAGUCACAGCAACGCUAGAUCCAAGCCUCAUCUGUGACCUACAUCACAGCUCACAGCAACACCAGAUCCUUAACCCACUGAGCAAGGCCAGGGAUCGAACCCACGACCUCAUGGUUUCUAGUGGGAUUCAUUUCCACUGUGCCACAACAGGAACUCCUGGUUUCUUUGACUAUAAAAGGGAAGUUAAGACCCCUAUAAGAUAGGCGCUAUUGUGAUAUCUAAUUGAGGUAUUGAUAUCUCACUGAGGUAGUGCCCAGCAUCAAUAUCCAGCACAUAGUAAGCACCCAACUAAUCAUAACUAAUAUUACCAUGAAUAACUUAAUCUUCCUAUGCUUCUUCUAAGAAGCUCUCUAUGAGCCCUCAAGACUGAGUU